rnacentral:rRNA from 1 species
GGAAUAUUCCACAAUGGGGGAAACCCUGAUGGAGCGACGCCGCGUGAGUGAUGAAGGGCUUCGGCUCGUAAAGCUCUUUUCCUGUUGACGAAUUAGCCUUAUGGGUACUUGACGGUAGAUGGGGAAUAAGCCACGGCUAACUACGUGCCAGCAGCCGCGGUAAUACGUAGGUGGCAAGCGUUGUCCGGAAUUAUUGGGCGUAAAGCGCAUGUAGGCGGUAAUUUAAGUCUGUCGUGAAACUGCGGGGCUCAGCCCGGUAUGGCGAUGGAAACUGGGUUACUUGAGUGCAGGAGAGGAAAGGGGAACUCCCAGUGUAGCGGUGAAAUGCGUAGAUAUUGGGAAGAACACCGGUGGCGAAGGCGCCUUUCUGGACUGUGUCUGACGCUGAGAUGCGAAAGCCAGGGUAGCGAACG